AUUGAACGCUGGCGGCAGGCCUAACACAUGCAAGUCGAGCGAGCGGCGGACGGGUGAGUAAUGUAUGGGGACUGCCCGAUAGAGGGGGAUAACUACUGGAAACGGUGGCUAAUACCGCAUACUAUCGGAUAACCCAUAUGGGAGUAGCUAGUAGGUGGGGUAAAGGCUCACCUAGGCGACGAUCUCUCGCUGGUCUGAGAGGCUGAUCAGUACCCCUGGGACUUAUACACGGCCCAGACUCCUACGGAGGCACCAUUGGGUAAUAUUGCACAAUGGGCUCAAGCCUGCUGCAGCCAUGCCGCGUGUAUGAAGAAGGCCUUAGGGUUGUAAAGUACUUUCAGCGGGGAGGCGUUACGCGAAGAAGAAGCACCGGCUAACUCCGUGCCAGCAGCCGCGGUAAGUG
rnacentral:rRNA from 1 species